ensembl:lncRNA
GAGCUCUGACCCACAGAGCAGUGUGGGGAUAAAUACUGUGUGCAGUCCUGGGCUGCUCAGGUUGAUGGGGCUGGCGUGGAGGUGGCUUCCUCAAGUGCAGGGCCUGAGGCCUUUGGAGGGAAAUCCCAUCAAAAAGGAUGAAGCUGGGUUCCUAACACCACUCACAAAUAGCCCAUCAGAAAGGAUGAAGCUGGGUUUGCUAACACCCCUACUCAUAUGCAUACACACCAAGGAAUGCCUGGCUGCCUGUUCCCGCUGGCAUUUGUCUGAACAAGCUGCAGCACAAAUCUGGAUGAAUCCUGGGUUCAGCCCUGCAGGAGGCCUCAGGUAUUUGGUUUCCUGAGUGAUAUUUUGAAGCUUUCUUUUCUGAACCCCAUUGAACUGUGACUGUGAAAUCCUCCCUGGAGAACUCCUGUCUCGGAUCCAAGUAGAUCUUGCUCUGAUCAGGAGUAAUGUCUCAGAGGAGUGAUAGGAUCAACUUCAUCCUCCUGUAGAUUUUCCUUCUCUGCCGGCAACCAAUUUCUUGCACACUGCUACAGGAAAAAAAAAAAAUCUAAUAAAAACAAACAACUCCCAGGGAUGCUCCUGUGCCUCACUCUGCCAAGGACUGGUGAUCACAUCAACAUCUUGGUUCUCAGGCAUCUGCCAAAACCCAAUGACUUCAGCCAGAACGGCAGAGCAGGGGUGAGCCAGCUGUGAUAUAACGGGCAGAGCUCUGGUUCCUGGGGAGUCUUCUCUGCAGACAUGGGCUUCUUCAUUUAAUGGGCCUUGGAUCUUAUUUAACACAUCGGCUCAUGUACCGUGCGGGUGUAAAGAAGCUGUGUGUAUAUAAUAAAAAACCUCAGCCUAUUCAGUAGCUAAGGGAGGCCUAAUAAAUUUGCCACUACAGCAAGUGUUAGUCUCUAGGGCCAAUACUGAAUGCUGGAGUUUAAUAAACAAAAAUUCUGAACUAAAAGGUAAACCAGUUCAGCUGACAAAGCAAAAACAAUGUAAUUAGAAAU